rnacentral:lncRNA from 1 species
CAGAUGUUUCAGCAGCUUUAUUGAAAAUUGCCAAAACGUUGAAGCAACCAAGAUGUCCUUUAGUAGGUCAAUGAAUAAACUGUGGUACAUCUGACAAUAGAAUAUAAUUCAGCACUAAAAAGAAAUGAGCUAUCAAGCCAUGAAAAGAUACGGAGGAAACUUAAAUGCAUAUUACUAAGUGAAAGAAGCCAAUCUGAAAAGGCCACAUACUGCGUAAUUCUAAGUAGAUGACAUUCUGGUAAAGGCAAAACUAUGGAGACAAUAAAAAGGUCAGUGGUUGCCAAAAGUUAGGGGAGAAAGGGGAAUGAAUAUGCAGAGCACAAAGUAUUUUUUGGGCAGUGAAACUACCCUGUAAGAUACUGUAAUGGUAGUUAACUUGUCAUUACACAUUUGUCCAAACCCAUGAAAUGUAAAAUACCAAUAAUGAACCCUAAUAUAAACUAUUGUGUUUGGGCAAUAAUAAUGUGUCAAUGUAGGUUCAUUGGUUGUGUUAAGGAAAAAGUGACUGAGGCAGGUGUCUUAAUCGAUAGAGGUUUGUUUAGCCAAAGUUUGCAGAUGCACCCAGGAAGAACACAAGCCAGAGGAGCAUCUGUGACCUGUGCUUUUCCAAAGAGGGUUUGGGAACUUUAAUAUUUAAAGAGUAAAGUGCAAACACGGAGAAGGAAAAGAGGAUAGAGGGUAGGCAGUGAGGCAAAUGGUUCUAUUCAGGGGAGGCUUUGGUUAGUGUUCAGUAAAUCCAAAUUUUAUAGGUAAAAAGAGGGAGUAAAGGAAAAGUCAAUUAUGUGUUCAUUGCAGGGUAGACAGCACGAUGAUUUCUGGUCUUGCCCGCGUCCUGUGCCUAUGAAGACAAGCUGGUAAUUGACAUCAUCAGGGUGAAAUUCAACAUAACUCAGUUUUAGGGCUAUUUUAUAGGAGGGAUAUGUAUCCUAAAAGAUAGGGUCUCACAAGGAUUUUCCUUGGGCACAAUUGUGAGGGAGGUCAUUUGGGGAGAUAUGUGGCCUUCUAUCAUUGUGGGAACCUGGUUUAUGGAUGAGGCUAUCACACAAGAUUGUGAAGUUACGGCUGUUAGGGAACAAAAGGAAGGCAAUAUUGAGUAAUUCAGCUCUGAAGCUUAACUUGCCCUUUGGCAUAGUGAGCUUGGGGUCUUGAAAUUCUAUUUGCUUUCACAGUUGUAACAAAUGUACUACUUUAGUGUGGGAUGUUGAAUGGGGGAGGAAAAAUGUGGUACAUAUUUAUAGAGUGGUCCCCCUAUCCAAGGUUUUGCUCUCUGUGGUUUCAGUUACCUGUGGCACAGUAUAAUGAGAUAUUUUGAGAAAGAGAGAGACCACAUUUGUAUCGCUCGUGUCAUAAUAUAUUGUUAUAAUUGUUCUAUUUUAUGAUUAUUGUUGUUAAUCUAUUACUGUGCUUAAUUUAUAAAUUAAAUGUUAUCAUAUGUAUGUGUGUAUGUAUAGGAAUAAACACAGUAAUCAGGUUCAGUGCUAUCAGUGAUUUCAGGCAUCCAUUGGGGGUCUUGGAACAUAUUCCCCAAGGAUAAGGGGGGACUACUCUAUAAUGAAUAUUAUUCAACCUUAAGAAGGAAGAAAAUUGACCCAUGUUGCAACAUGGAUGAGGCUUGAAGACAUUAUGCUAGAUGAAAUAAGCACAAAAAUACAAAUACUGUAUGAUCCCACUCCUAGGUCCUUCGAGUAGUCAAAAUCAGAGACAGAAAGUAAAAUGGUGGUUGCCAGGCAUUAGAGGAAAGAUAAAUGCGGGAUUAUUGACUAACGGGUAAAAAGAGUUUCAGUUUUGCAAGAAAAAAAUUCUGUGGAAGGAUGAUGGUGAUAUUUGCACAACCAUGUGAAUGUACCUAAUGACACUGAACUGAACUUUAAAAUGGUUAAAAUGGAAAAUUUUAUGUUAUGUAUAUUUUACCAUAGUUUAAACAGAUAACUAAAAAUGUGUGUUCUAAUUCAUGUGAAUUCUCAAAAGAGGCUAUAUCUAAAAGACAGAUUCGUGUUUCAUGUUCCAUGAAGCUUAGAAAUUGGAGUGAGAGACUGAUGAAACAUGACAAGUGAACGCAUCUGAAAACAACAAAGUUUCACACAAAUGUAUGGAUUUUAUUGACAAGUGAUAUUUUCUUACAGUAAUAAAUAUAAUGCAGU